GAUGAACGCUAGCUACAGGCUUAACACAUGCAAGUCGAGGGGAAACGACAUCGAAAGCUUGCUUUUGAUGGGCGUCGACCGGCGCACGGGUGAGUAACGCGUAUCCAACCUGCCCAUCACUUGGGGAUAACCCUGCGAAAGUAAGACUAAUACCCAAUGAUAUCUCUAGAAGACAUCUGAAAGAGAUUAAAGAUUUAUCGGUGAUGGAUGGGGAUGCGUCUGAUUAGCUUGUUGGCGGGGUAACGGCCCACCAAGGCAACGAUCAGUAGGGGUUCUGAGAGGAAGGUCCCCCACAUUGGAACUGAGACACGGUCCAAACGCCUACGGGAGGCAGCAGUGAGGAAUAUUGGGCAAUGGGCGAGAGCCUGAACCAGCCAAGUAGCGUGCAGGAAGACGGCCCUAUGGGCUGUAAACUGCUUUUAGAAGGGAAUAAAGUGAGAGUCGUGACUCUUUUUGUAUGUACCUUAUGAAUGAGGACCGGCUAAUUCCGUG
rnacentral:rRNA from 1 species